GGUGAACGCUGGCGGCGUGCUUAACACAUGCAAGUCGAACGAAGCACUUUGAUCGAUUUCUUCGGAUUGAAAUUUUAGUGACUGAGUGGCGGACGGGUGAGUAACGCGUGGGUAACUUGCCCCACACAGGGGGAUAACAGUUGGAAACGGCUGCUAAUACCGUAUAAGCGCACAGUACCGCAUGGUACAGUGUGAAAAACUCCGGUGGUGUGAGAUGGACCCGCGUCUGAUUAGCUAGUUGGCAGGGCAGCCGCCUACCAAGGCGACGAUCAGUAGCCGACCUGAGAGGGUGACCGGCCAAAGUGGGACCCAGACACGGCCCAGACUCCGACGGGAGGCAGAAGUGGGGAAUAUUGCCCAAUGGGGGAAACCCUGAUGCAGCGAGGCCGCGUGAGCGAAGAAGUAUUUCGGUAUGUGAAGCUCUAUCAGCAGGGAAGAAGAAAUGACGGUACCUGACUAAGAAGCACCGGCUAAAUACGUGCCAGCCGCCGCAGUAAUAC
rnacentral:rRNA from 1 species